rnacentral:rRNA from 1 species
GAUGAACGCUGGCGGCGUGCUUAACACAUGCAAGUCGAACGAAGCACUCUACUUGAUCUUUUCGGAGUGAUUGUUUUGUGACUGAGUGGCGGACGGGUGAGUAACGCGUGGGUAACCUGCCUCACACAGGGGGAUAACAGUUGGAAACGGCUGCUAAUACCGCAUAAGCGCACAGUACCGCAUGGUACGGUGUGAAAAACUCCGGUGGUGUGAGAUGGACCCGCGUCUGAUUAGCUAGUUGGCAGGGCAGCGGCCUACCAAGGCGACGAUCAGUAGCCGACCUGAGAGGGUGACCGGCCACAUUGGGACUGAGACACGGCCCAAACUCCUACGGGAGGCGGCAGUGGGGAAUAUUGCACAAUGGGGGAAACCCUGAUGCAGCGACGCCGCGUGAGCGAAGAAGUAUUUCGGUAUGUAAAGCUCUAUCAGCAGGGAAGAAGAAAUGACGGUACCUGACUAAGAAGCACCGGCUAAAUACGUGCCAGCCGCCGCCGUAA